GUAAAUAUUAUAUAUAUAUUUCAGGUGAAGGUCAGUUUUUAAAUGAAGUUGAUGAAUCAGAUAAAUGUAUCUGGCAGGUUUAUGAUUGUUAUAAAGAACUCAAUCCCAUCUAUAAUGCUAUACAGAGUUUCAAUCUGGAACCUCUGUCUAAAGGGAGACUACUCAUGGACAUCUGUAGACAACUACCUUUAGCGAUACAAUGUCAGAACGCCUAUAAAUGUGAAGUGAGUCCCACCUCUCAAAGAUAUAUUGAAUCGUCUACAGAAUUAUACAAGUUUAUCUGUAGUGAAAGAGCAAUUGUUAAAAUGGAGAAACGUUGUUGGAAGAAUUCAGAUUAUAAGAAAGGCUUGAAACAAUGUACAACAGAAUUUAAACUUAGAUCUCAGAAUGAAGUGUGCACUGACAUGAGUCAGUUGAAGAGUUGUCUGUCCCAAAAGAUCGAGGCUAUUGAAGACUGCAGUAUAUUGGCUGAUAUCUUCCUGGAUUAUCUACUGGAUAAAAUCGCUACUCACUUCAUUGGAAAUGUUUGUUAACUUCACCCGGCUGGAUAAUCAAAAAUCAAAAACUAAUAAAAUGGCGAACUCUAGAACCAUUAAAGGGUCUUUAAUGUC